AGACGUGUGCUCUUCCGAUCAAUUAAAAGUAGGCUAGUAUGCUCCUCAGGCACUCUGCUGCCCUACAGGAAGAAACAACAGCACAUGAGUGAGUGAGUGCUAUUUUAGGAUAGAUUUGUUACAGAAUCAGGUUUAUUUUUUCUUUCCAGUACUGACAUUCAUCAAUACCGAUAUGUUAUCUGUAUUUACGACUGAUGAUUUGCUCAUGUCAUCACCUUUAAGACGCUGUAGUGCUAACAUAGUUUUAAGUCUGAUCUCAUAGCUUAUAAAGUGAGGACAGAGAGAAAUGGUUUUUCUCUUGAUGUGCAUGUCUGUGAUCUGUGGAUAUGUUGUACAAUGCUCCUGACAAAAAUAAAUAAUAUUUCAAUUCAGUUACGCCACUGAGCCUCUCUUUUUAUACACCUGUGUGAAAGUGAGCGUGAAUGAGUGAGUGUGUAAGGAAGGCCAUACUCCCUGUGCAGCAAGAGCUCACACACUGCCACCCAAUACUCACAGCAUGUAAAACUCUUACUGUUCAAUGAGCAAGGCUCUUGGAUGAAAACCCUUCGUUUUCAGGCCGCAGCACAGUGUUCACCCAGAACAAACGCGUUCACAGAUCCCUGACAAUACAAGCAGCUAGUGUGUAACUGCCUGAUUCAGUAGUGCUGAAGGCUGAGCCACGGCAGCCUACAGGGAGCGGAGAACACGCUGCUGUCUGACAGCAGAUCGCCGGCUUGCAGAGAUGAAAUGGCUGGAACUGUGAAUGCGUGAAUUCUCUGGAAAGGAAGUGAGAGAAAAUGACCAAAGCAGGGCCACACAGCGAGUCAGUGCUCCACUAAUUGGACUGCACUUCAGACUGAGGCACAUUAAGAAAUACUGGUAAUAGAACACGCAUGACUCAUCAGGUUAGAGUCUUCUCAUUUCUCCUGACUUUCGAUUGGUUGCAGGAGGAGGGAGAGAGAGGGAGAGUUACAGGGAGAAAGAGAACAAAACGAAAAAGGGAGAGAAAAAAGAAAAAGCAAGACAGAUGGGGGAGUUGGAGAGAAGAAAAAAGAAAGAGACAAAGAUGCAAUGCAAGGGAGAUAAGGAAAAGAACAGAUAGGGGGAAAGAUAAAGGGAAAAAAGAGAGAAAGUGCUGUGGCAUGACUAAGCAACAGAAGAAGCAUGAGAGAGAGAGAGAGAGAGAGAGAGAGAGAGAGAGAGAGA